GUCCCAGAGGAGAGCCUGGUCUGAGAGGAACUAAGGGUUUGAAAGGACUUGGCGGACCUUCCGGACCGUUGGGUCACCUUGGACCAGUUGGAGCGCCUGGUUUGACGGGACAACCCGGACUUCCUGGACAAGUGUUCCUUCUAGAAGGUUUACAGGGAGAAGCAGGAAGUCCAGGACCUCCAUCCUCAUCAUGCGGCUGCUCGCCACACCCCCGCCAACAACCCAGGCCACAUCGGGUCCAGAAGAUUUUCAUCGCAGACGGAGAAGAAGCUUUGAGGAAGCUGCAGAAGGAGAACACCAUGGUUCUACGUACUGACAAGAAGGCUCUUUACAUCUUCACUGAGCAGCAGUGGGUCA